UACGAAGGGGGCUAGCGUUGCUCGGAAUUACUGGGCGUAAAGCGCACGUAGGCGGUCUUUUAAGUCGGGGGUGAAAUCCUGGAGCUCAACUCCAGAACUGCCUUCGAUACUGGAAGACUUGAGUCCGGGAGAGGUGAGUGGAACUGCGAGUGUAGAGGUGAAAUUCGUAGAUAUUCGGAAGAACACCAGUGGCGAAGGCGACUCACUGGACACGUAUUGACGCUGAGGUGCGAAAGCGUGGGGAGCAAACAGG
rnacentral:rRNA from 1 species